rnacentral:rRNA from 1 species
AUUGAACGCUGGCGGCAGGCCUAACACAUGCAAGUCGAGCGAGAGGCGGACGGGUGAGUAAUGUAUGGGGACUGCACGAUAGAGGGGGAUAACUACUGGAAACGGUGGCUAAUACCGCAUACUAUCGGAUAACCCAUAUGGGAUUAGCUAGUAGGAGGGGUAAAGGCUCACCUAGGCGACGAGCUCUAGCUGGUCUGAGAGGAUGGUAAGCCACACUGGGACUGAGACACGGCCCGUGCUCCUACGGAGGCAGCAGUGGAGAAUAUUGCACAAUGGGCGCCAGCCUGAUGCAGCCAGGCCGCGUGUAUGAAGGAGGCCUUAGGGUUGUAAAGUACGUUCAGCGGGGAGGCGUUACCCGCAGAAGAAGCACCGGCUAACUCCGUGCCAGCAGCCGCGGUAAUUC